UGUUGCUUCUUCAAGGCCAGCAAGAGGCAGAGCCAGUCUGCUAGCAACACAGUCUUAUAAAGAGUUGUGUUGGGAGCUGUGACUAUGGACCUACAAGACAGAGAUCACAAGUAGGCAGAGAGGCAGGCAGAGAGAGAGAGGAGGAAGCAGACUCCCCGGGGAACAGAGAGCCCAAUGCCAGGCUCCAUCCCAGGACCCUGGGAUCAUGACCUGAGCUGAAGGCAGAGGCUUUAAACCACUGAGCCACCCAGGUGCCCCUUUUUUUUAA
rnacentral:lncRNA from 1 species